CUUUAUUAUGGUUAACCCCUGAGAAAAGAGCUCCCAGAGCUUACGGUGCAUUUGGUUGAUGUCAUAUGGACUAUUCAUUAUUUUCUAAAUUAUUUUGUUUGUAUAAAGCAAUCUGAAGAGGAUGUAAGUUAGUUUGAUUCCAAGUUUACACGUCAGACACCUGUCGACAGCCCAGAUGACUGAACUCUCAGUGAAAGUGCCAAUCAGGUCUUUCUGAUGCCACUGUGAGAAUGGGAACAAUGGAACAGGCCCUCACCAAAUGCCAAAUGUGCUAUCACCUUGAUUUUGGAUUUCCCAGCCUCUGGAACUGUGAGGAAUAAAUUUUUUGCUUAUAAAUUA